UACGUAGGGGGCGAGCGUUGUCCGGAAUUAUUGGGCGUAAAGAGCUCGUAGGCGGCUUGGCAAGUCGGAUGUGAAAACUCCAGGCUCAACCUGGAGCCGCCAUUCGAUACUGCUAUGGCUAGAGUCCGGUAGGGGAGUGUGGAAUUCCCGGUGUAGCGGUGAAAUGCGCAGAUAUCGGGAGGAACACCGAUGGCGAAGGCAGCACUCUGGGCCGGCACUGACGCUGAGGCACGAAAGCGUGGGGAGCAAACAGG
rnacentral:rRNA from 1 species